rnacentral:rRNA from 1 species
AGUGAACGCUGGCGGUAGGCCUAACACAUGCAAGUCGAACGGCAGCACAGUAAGAGCUUGCUCUUACGGGUGGCGAGUGGCGGACGGGUGAGGAAUACAUCGGAAUCUACUUUUUCGUGGGGGAUAACGUAGGGAAACUUACGCUAAUACCGCAUACGACCUACGGGUGAAAGCAGGGGAUCUUCGGACCUUGCGCGAUUGAAUGAGCCGAUGUCGGAUUAGCUAGUUGGCGGGGUAAAGGCCCACCAAGGCGACGAUCCGUAGCUGGUCUGAGAGGAUGAUCGGCCACACGGGAACUGAGACACGGUCAAGGCUCCUACGGGAGGCAGCAGUGGGGAAUAUUGGACAAUGGGCGCAAGCCUGAUCCAGCCAUACCGCGUGGGUGAAGAAGGCCUUCGGGUUGUAAAGCCCUUUUGUUGGGAAAGAAAAGCAGCAGGUUAAUACCCCGCGGUUCUGACGGUACCCAAAAAAUAAGCACCGGCUAACUUCGUG